rnacentral:lncRNA from 11 species
GGGAGGAGGAGGAGGAGGAGAAGGAGAAGAAGAAGGAGGGAAGAGAAGGAGAGAGAGAAGGAGGGGAUAAAGGAGGUCAUCCAGUUGAACCGGACAGGAGAGAAGAAGGAAGGAAGGAAGGGAGGGAGGGAGGAAAGAAAGAAGGGUCUGCGCAUAGGGCCAGAGCAUUUCAGGCGAAGCCAUGAGUGUCGUUGUGCGCCCAUGUGCCCCCAAAGACCUGAAGGACAUCCUGCGUCUUAUUAAGGAAAUUGCGGUGAUCUACAACGUCCCGUUGACCCAACUCUACCCAAAUAUGGAGGUGCUUCACAAAGACGGAUUCGGGGAGAGACCCAAAUUCGAGUGUUUCGUGGCCGAGGCUCCCCCAGAACAGAAAAGCAAGGAAGGUAAGGAAGCGGACAACAAAGAGGAAAAUAAGACCAGUUUCCUUUCCAAUUCUUUGGAGAAAGAUAU